rnacentral:rRNA from 1 species
UACGGAAGGCAGCAGUGGGGAAUAUUGCACAAUGGGCGCAAGCCUGAUGCAGCCAUGCCGCGUGUAUGAAGAAGGCCUUCGGGUUGUAAAGUACUUUCAGUCGUGAGGAAGGUGUUAAGGUUAAUAACCUUAGCAAUUGACGUUAGCGACAGAAGAAGCACCGGCUAACUCCGUGCCAGCAGCCGCGGUAAUACGGAGGGUGCGAGCGUUAAUCGGAAUUACUGGGCGUAAAGGGCACGCAGGCGGUUAAUUAAGUUGGAUGUGAAAUCCCCGGGCUUAACCUGGGAAUGGCAUUCAAGACUGGUUAGCUAGAGUCUUGUAGAGGGGGUAGAAUUCCAUGUGUAGCGGUGAAAUGCGUGAGAUGUGGAGGAAUACCGGUGGCGAAGGCGGCCCCUGGGACAAAGGACUGACGCUCAUGUGCGAAAGCGUGGGGAGCGAAACAGGGAUUAGAUACC